rnacentral:rRNA from 1 species
GAUGGCCAUACCAUGUUGAGAAUGCCCAAGCUCAUCUGAUCUUGCAAGCUGAGCAGAGUUGGGCUUGGUUAGUACUUGAAUGAGAGAUCUCUGUGAAUACCAGGAGACCCAUUC